rnacentral:rRNA from 1 species
GAUGAACGCUAGCGGCAGGCCUAAUACAUGCAAGUCGAACGAGAUUAAGAGGCUUGCUUCUUAUGAAAGUGGCGCACGGGUGCGUAACGCGUAUGCAACCUACCUUAAUCAGGGGGAUAGCCCGAAGAAAUUCGGAUUAAGACCGCAUAAAAACACAGGAUAGCAUUAUCCAAUGUUCAAAUAUUUAUAGGAUUAAGAUGGGCAUGCGUGUCAUUAGCUAGUUGGCGGGGUAACGGCCCACCAAGGCGACGAUGACUAGGGGAUCUGAGAGGAUGACCCCCCACACUGGUGCUGCGACACGGACCAGACUCCUACGCGAGGCAGCAGUAAGGAACAUUGGUCGCGGGAGGGAACUCUGACCCAGCCAUGCCGCGUGCAGGAAGACAGCCCUCGGGGUCGUAUACUGCUUUUAAUCGGGAAUAAACCUUUCUACGUGUAGGAAGCUGAAUGUACCGAAGGAAUAAGGAUCGGCUAACUCCGUG